ACUAGCCUGCCGAUUUCCCUCCUUUCUUGUAGAACCGUAAUGCCAUUAAUUUGGUGUUGCGGGGAAACAGGACUGUUACUUUGAAAAAAUUAGAGUGUUUAAAGCAGGCUAGCGCCUGAAUACAUUAGCAUGGAAUAAUGAAAUAGGACGUUCGAACCUAUUUUGUUGGUUUCUAGGAUUGACGUAAUGAUUAAUAGGGAUAGUUGGGGGCAUUAGUAUUCAAUUGUCAGAGGUGAAAUUCUUGGAUUUAUUGAAGACUGACUACUGCGAAAGCAUUUGCCAAGGACGUUUUCAUUAAUCAAGAACGAAAGUUAGGGGAUCGAAGACGAUCAGAUACCGUCGUAGUCUUAACCAUAAACUAUGCCGACUAGGGAUCGGAUGAUGUU
rnacentral:rRNA from 1 species